rnacentral:rRNA from 1 species
AUGAACGCUGGCGGCGUGCUUAACACAUGCAAGUCGAGCGAAGCACUUUGCUUUGAUUUCUUCGGGAUGAAGAGCCUAGUGACUGAGCGGCGGACGGGUGAGUAACGCGUGGGUAACCUGCCUCAUACAGGGGGAUAACAGUUAGAAAUGACUGCUAAUACCGCAUAAGGCCACAGCACCGCAUGGUGCAGGGGUAAAAACUCCGGUGGUAUGAGAUGGACCCGCGUCUGAUUAGUUAGUUGGUGGGGUAACGGCCUACCAAGGCGACGAUCAGUAGCCGACCUGAGAGGGUGACCGGCCACAUUGGGACUGAGACACGGCCCAAACUCCUACGGGAGGCAGCAGUGGGGAAUAUUGCACAAUGGGGGAAACCCUGAUGCAGCGACGCCGCGUGAGCGAAGAAGUAUUUCGGUAUGUAAAGCUCUAUCAGCAGGGAAGAAAAUGACGGUACCUGACUAAGAAGCCCCGGCUAACUACGUGCCAGCAGCCGCGGUAAUACGUAGGGGGCAAGCGUUAUCCGGAUUUACUGGGUGUAAAGGGAGCGUAGACGGAGCAGCAAGUCUGAUGUGAAAACCCGGGGCUCAACCCCGGGACUGCAUUGGAAACUGUUGAUCUGGAGUGCCGGAGAGGUAAGCGGAAUUCCUAGUGUAGCGGUGAAAGGCGUAGAGAUUAGGAGGAGCAGCGGUGGCGAAGGAGGCUUACUGGACGGUAACUGACGUUGGGGCUCGAAAGCGUGGGGAGCGAACAGGAUUAGAUACCCUGGUAGUCCACGCCGUAAACGAUGACUACUAGGUGUCGGGUGGCAAAGCCAUUCGGUGCCGCAGCCAACGCAAUAAGUAGUCCACCUGGGGAGUACGUUCGCAAGAAUGAAACUCAAAGGAAUUGACGGGGGCCCGCACAAGCAGUGGAGUAUGUGGUUUAAUUCGACGCAACGCGAAGAACCUUACCAGGUCUUGACAUCCGAUGCAUAGUGCAGAGAUGCAUGAAGUCCUUCGGGACAUCGAGACAGGUGGUGCAUGGUUGUCGUCAGCUCGUGUCGUGAGAUGUUGGGUUAAGUCCCGCAACGAGCGCAACCCCUAUCUUCAGUAGCCAGCGGUAAGGCCGGGCACUCUGGAGAGACUGCCAGGGAUAACCUGGAGGAAGGUGGGGAUGACGUCAAAUCAUCAUGCCCCUUAUGAGCAGGGCUACACACGUGCUACAAUGGCGUAAACAAAGGGAAGCGAGACCGCGAGGUGGAGCAAAUCCCAAAAAUAACGUCUCAGUUCGGAUUGUAGUCUGCAACUCGACUACAUGAAGCUGGAAUCGCUAGUAAUCGCAGAUCAGAAUGCUGCGGUGAAUACGUUCCCGGGUCUUGUACACACCGCCCGUCACACCAUGGGAGUCAGUAACGCCCGAAGUCAGUGACCCAACCGAAAGGAGGGAGCUGCCGAAGGUGGGACCGAUAACUGGGGUG